GACAGAGGUGCCGAGCGUUAGGCGGAAUCACUGGGCUUAAAGCGUGUGUAGGCGGAUCGUUAAGUACCUUGUGAAAUCCCACGGCUCAACCGUGGAACUGCUGGGUAUACUGGCGGUCUUGAGCCACCUAGGGGCGAGCGGAACAAGCGGUGGAGCGGUGAAAUGCGUAGAUAUCGCUUGGAACGCCAACGGUGAAAACAGCUCGCUGGGGGGUGUGCUGACGCUGGAGACACGAAAGCCAGGGGAGCGAACGGG
rnacentral:rRNA from 1 species